AAAGAAGCAACCGAUACAGAAGCUAAGUAAAGUUCAGCCACCAUUCCAGAAAUUUCAACCAAACAAAAGAAAUUGACACAAGCAGACAAAGGAAAUUGACAGAAGCCGUUGUGCACAGAUCUGAUGCUUCACUGUGGGGGCUUGCUAUAGCGAAGCUCCUCCAUAAUGAGUUCAAUGUAAUCAUAGCGCUCGACGUCAUCAAAGCAUACGAAUGCACAUCUUUGUCCCGCAUUUCUUCUUUCGGCAAAGUACAUUGUCGCUUUCAGCUUAACCGAUUUUGGAAGUUGCAUAUUUUUCACCAUGUCUUGAACUACCGGUACACUGUAUUGUGCUUCCUCUUCAUACCGAUUUUGAUUAAAUUCAUACGAAGUGGUGGUGAUGUGAG
rnacentral:lncRNA from 1 species